AGAGUUUGAUCAUGGCUCAGAUUGAACGCUGGCGGCAGGCCUAACACAUGCAAGUCGAGCGGUAGCACAGAGAGCUUGCUCUCGGGUGACGAGCGGCGGACGGGUGAGUAAUGUCUGGGAAACUGCCUGAUGGAGGGGGAUAACUACUGGAAACGGUAGCUAAUACCGCAUAACGUCGCAAGACCAAAGUGGGGGACCUUCGGGCCUCAUGCCAUCAGAUGUGCCCAGAUGGGAUUAGCUAGUAGGUGGGGUAACGGCUCACCUAGGCGACGAUCCCUAGCUGGUCUGAGAGGAUGACCAGCCACACUGGAACUGAGACACGGUCCAGACUCCUACGGGAGGCAGCAGUGGGGAAUAUUGCACAAUGGGCGCAAGCCUGAUGCAGCCAUGCCGCGUGUGUGAAGAAGGCCUUCGGGUUGUAAAGCACUUUCAGCGGGGAGGAAGGCGGUGGGGUUAAUAACCUCACCGAUUGACGUUACCCGCAGAAGAAGCACCGGCUAACUCCGUGCCAGCAGCCGCGGUAAUACGGAGGGUGCAAGCGUUAAUCGGAAUUACUGGGCGUAAAGCGCACGCAGGCGGUCUGUCAAGUCGGAUGUGAAAUCCCCGGGCUCAACCUGGGAACUGCAUUCGAAACUGGCAGGCUAGAGUCCUGUAGAGGGGGGUAGAAUUCCAGGUGUAGCGGUGAAAUGCGUAGAGAUCUGGAGGAAUACCGGUGGCGAAGGCGGCCCCCUGGACAAAGACUGACGCUCAGGUGCGAAAGCGUGGGGAGCAAACAGGAUUAGAUACCCUGGUAGUCCACGCUGUAAACGAUGUCGAUUUGGAGGUUGUGCCCUUGAGGCGUGGCUUCCGGAGCUAACGCGUUAAAUCGACCGCCUGGGGAGUACGGCCGCAAGGUUAAAACUCAAAUGAAUUGACGGGGGCCCGCACAAGCGGUGGAGCAUGUGGUUUAAUUCGAUGCAACGCGAAGAACCUUACCUGGUCUUGACAUCCACAGAACUUUCCAGAGAUGGAUUGGUGCCUUCGGGAACUGUGAGACAGGUGCUGCAUGGCUGUCGUCAGCUCGUGUUGUGAAAUGUUGGGUUAAGUCCCGCAACGAGCGCAACCCUUAUCCUUUGUUGCCAGCGGUUAGGCCGGGAACUCAAAGGAGACUGCCAGUGAUAAACUGGAGGAAGGUGGGGAUGACGUCAAGUCAUCAUGGCCCUUACGACCAGGGCUACACACGUGCUACAAUGGCAUAUACAAAGAGAAGCGACCUCGCGAGAGCAAGCGGACCUCAUAAAGUAUGUCGUAGUCCGGAUUGGAGUCUGCAACUCGACUCCAUGAAGUCGGAAUCGCUAGUAAUCGUAGAUCAGAAUGCUACGGUGAAUACGUUCCCGGGCCUUGUACACACCGCCCGUCACACCAUGGGAGUGGGUUGCAAAAGAAGUAGGUAGCUUAACCUUCGGGAGGGCGCUUACCACUUUGUGAUUCAUGACUGGGGUGAAGUCGUAACAAGGUAACC
rnacentral:rRNA from 1 species